GGGGCGGUAGCUCAGCCGGUCAGAGCAUCGGACUCAUAAUCCGUGGGUCGUGGGUUCAAGUCCCACCCGCCCUACCG
rnacentral:tRNA from 1 species